ACUCCUACGGGAGGCAGCAGUGGGGAAUAUUGCACAAUGGGCGCAAGCCUGACGCAGCGACGCCGCGUGAGGGAUGACGGCCUUCGGGUUGUAAACCUCUUUCAGCAGGGACGAAUGUGACGGUACCUGUAGAAGAAGCACCGGCCAACUACGUGCCAGCAGCCGCGGUAAU
rnacentral:rRNA from 1 species